GAUGAACGCUGGCGGCGUGCUUAACACAUGCAAGUCGAACGAAGACAUCUGAGUGCUUGCACUUGGAUGGACUGAGUGGCGGACGGGUGAGUAACGCGUGGGUAACCUGCCUUAUACAGGGGGAUAACAGUUGGAAACGACUGCUAAUACCGCAUAAGCGCACAGUAUCGCAUGAUACAGUGUGAAAAACUCCGGUGGUAUAAGAUGGACCCGCGUCUGAUUAGCUGGUUGGUGAGGUAACGGCCCACCAAGGCGACGAUCAGUAGCCGGCCUGAGAGGGUGAACGGCCACAUUGGGACUGAGACACGGCCCAAAACUCCUACGGGAGGCAGCAGUGGGAAUAUUGCACAAUGGGGGAAACCCUGAUGCAGCGACGCCGCGUGAGUGAGGAAGUAUUUCGGUAUGUAAAACUCUAUCAGCAGGGAAGAUAAUGACGGUACCUGACUAAGAGGCACCGGCUAAAUACGUGCCAGCAGCCG
rnacentral:rRNA from 1 species